GACCAACCAAGGCAGAGACGCUUCAGGACCGUAUGGAGAGCCUAGGAGCUGCGAUCAAGGCUGCAGAGGGAGCCUCCUUCAGCCUUCACCUGAGCGGAGGAGAGAACCCUUCGCUGGUGACUCCGAAACUCAGCGCCUCUUCCAGACAUUGGGGAAAUGAACGUUUAGGAGAGUGGAGUGAAAUCUCCCGCGAGCGCGUACGCCUGAGGCCGUGAAUCCCAUCCGAGUUGAAAUCUCCGUGGCACCUUUACACGUAAUGAAUAUGGUCUCUUACUGAGGCCACACAAAAUUUCAGUAUAUAAAAACAAGCUCCUGGCCCAAAUGAGUAGUGAAUUGGACUUAUUUUCCCAGUGGAGUCCUUCACCCUCAACCCCACUCCCACCCCCUGCUGGACCCGCAUCCCCACUCCCACUUCCUGGUCCUCAUGGUUUAGGGGAGAAAACGGUUUCGGGUCAAGAAGAAGGAAAUAGGGGCUGCAGCCCCAAGGUCCCGGCAGCACACGUCCCCGCACCCCUCCUUCUCCCCGGGGCUGUUUGCGGCUCUCAUCCCGGUACCCUCGCCCUCUUUCGCCUCCUUCUCAGGACUCCGGAUCCCGGAAACCGGGUUCUCAAAGUGACGCAGUCCAAAAGGAAUUUUUGGAAACAUCGAGAUUUCAGCACUUGUUAUUUCUGCGUCCUGGGCAAGCCCGCCUGGCCCGGCUCAGUACCCAUUAUUCUCCUGAAGCCUCGGGCUCCUCCGUGGUAGAAAGUUACUACUGCAUCAACAAAAUCCUAGACUCGGAGAUAUUUUUGACGCCAACUGAUGUGUGACUGGAUCGUACACCCUUGCUUUGAAAGAAAUUAUACCUAUCUUGGAAACAAAACGCUUUCAGGGCCCGGCUAGCUCAGUCGGUAGAGCAUGAGACUCUUAAUCUCAGGGUCGUGGGUUCGAGCCCCACGUUGGGCGCUUUGGGUUUUUUUUUUUUCUCUCUUUGAAGUCUGUCAGCUACCAAUAGAAUCAACAGCUUUUAAAUAGCCAUUGUGGCCACUGUUGUUUUAAAACUUUGGUAAAUGAUUCCAAGAAUCGCCUCUACGCGCCCCAAAUUCAGCACAAAUAAGGAAUCUGGACCAGGGAUUCCAGCGCGUCAGGUUGUUGAGGCCAGGGGUCCCUGACGCCCCGCCGCCUGGGUCUGGACUCCUUCCGGAACCGAGUCCGGGAGCCGGGGGCUCCGCCUCCGUCCUGACCCGACUCUGCUCCACGGAGAAGACGCCUGAGGACGUGACCUGACGGAAAUAUCUUCGUUCUCUUCUCGUAGGUCGUCCGCCUCCCCUCCCUAAGGAUCGUUUACCAGUCCUACCUUUUUUUUUUUUUAAGUUUGUAAAUAUGCUUUAGUCUCCCUUGUAUAUCCAGCCAACCAUCUCCAAGAUGAUCAUUACACUAGCCAAUUAUUCUCAAAGUGUGGUGCGAAGACCAACAUCAUCAGCAUCACCUGGAAACUUUGGAGAAAUGCAAAUUCUCAAGCCCCACCUCGGAACUGCUGAAUCAGAAACUCUCGGAGUAGGCCGACAAUCCCUGACUUAAGCUCUCCGGUGAUUUGGAUAAAUGCUCAAGUUCGACAACCACUGCUUUAGGGUAGCCAGGAUACACCUAUCAACCAAGAUAUACUAUGUUUUUGGGUAGGAAACUAAACGUCAUAACGACGGUACCUCUCCUUAACUUGGUGUCCGUAUUUAACAUGGUUUUCAUAAAAAUAUUUAAAAGGCUUUUUCUUUUUUAUUCAAACUGGACAGUUUAAAUGGAAAAAUAACAAGCAGUAAUAUUCAGAGAAAUAGUUUUUCAAAAAGAGUAAUAAGGAUUAACUCUAUGUGGUUUAUUAACCCUAUGGCAUAUUUUAAAUGCCAUAAAUUAUAAUAAUUAAAACAGUAAAAUAUCAUGUAUGAAUAGUCAGCAAUCAAUGGGACAGGAUAGAGUUCAGAUAUAGACCAAAAUACAUAAAUAAAUGUAAUAUAUUAGAAAGAGGGACUCAAAUCAAUAAUUCUAAUGAACAGUUUUUGAAUAACUAGGUUACUGCUUGGGAAAAAAUAAUGGUCAAUGAAUAUCAUACCCUUUAUAUAAGGGUUCAUUCCAAAUUAACAAAGACUUAAAUAAUAAUAAAAAGGAAUAUAAAAGUUUUUGUAGAAUCAUGAAAUAAUUAUUUUAUUAUCUUAGUGUGUGUACCAAAAUGAUUGUUCUAACUAUGAUGCAAACUCAGAAGUCCUGAAAGAAAUUUUAUUAUUAUUAUUUUUGCUGAGGAAAAUUAGCCCUAAGCUAACAUCUGUGCCAAUCUUCCUCCAUUUUAUAUGUGGGUUACUGCCACAGCAUGGCUGAGAAGUAGUGUAAGUCCCCACCCGGGAUUCAAACCGGCAAACCUGGGCCACCGAA
rnacentral:lncRNA from 1 species